rnacentral:sRNA from 19 species
CAAUAUCAUUAGCCUAAGUUUUAUAAAAAACACGGGGAAACCAGUACUAUUUUGGGGUGAAUCGUAAUUUAUUACGUAGGUUAUGCCUUUUCCGAACCCGUCAGCUAACCCCGUCGGUAAUAAGGAGGAUAUAU